rnacentral:misc_RNA from 1 species
AUAACUUAAACGGUGCUCAGAUCCUGGGUAGAAUAAUCAGAGUCGAUCAUGUUACCAACUAUAAAAAGAAAGAAGAAGAGGAUGAAGAGACAGAGAGGAAAAAGAGGGAGGAGCGAGGGGUCUGUCGUUCUUUCCAGAGGGGUGAAUGCAAUCGUGGUGCUGCUUGCAAGUUCUCUCACGAUGAGAAGAGAGCUGCAAACACAGGUUGGGGUGCUGAGGAAGAUCGAAGUUCGAGAUGGGCCCAUGAUAAAGCUGAAGAUUCUAAGAAGGAUGGAAGAUCUGGCCAAUGGGGUCGGCCUCCUCGGCCUGACUACAAGGAAGAGGUCAAAGUCUCUGAUAAAGAUCCAAGAAAUUCUAAAGCAAAAAUUACUGAUGUAGAAAGGCAUGAGCAGAGAGAUUCAACUGCAAGAGAUCAUUAUAAGAGAGAUUCAACUGCAAGAGAUCAUUAUA